GAUGAACGCUGGCGGCGUGCUUAACACAUGCCAGUCGAACGAGAAGUGGAGACGGAAACCUUCGGGCGGAAGACUUUAUUUCGAGUGGCGGACUGGUGAGUAACGCGUGGGUAACCUGCCUCAUACAGGGGGAUAACAGUUGGAAACGACUGUUAAUACCGCAUAAGACCACAGCACCGCAUGGUGCGGGGGUAAAAACUCCGGUGGUAUGAGAUGGACCCGCGUUGGAUUAGCCAGUUGGCGGGGUAACGGCCCACCAAAGCGACGAUCGAUAGCCGAUCUGAGAGGAUGACCGGUCACAUUGGGACUGGGACACGGCCCAAACUCCUACGGGAGGCAGCAGUGGGGAAUAUAGCACAAUAGGGGAAACCCUGAUGCAGCGACGCCGCGUGAGUGAAGAAGUAGUUGGGUAUGUAAAGCUCUAUGAGCAGGGAAGAAAAUGACGGUACCUGAGGAAGAAGCCCCGGCUAACUACGUG
rnacentral:rRNA from 1 species